rnacentral:rRNA from 1 species
GACGAACGCUGGCGGCGUGCUUAACACAUGCAAGUCGAACGGUGAAGCGAGUGCUUGCACUCGUGGAUCAGUGGCGAACGGGUGAGUAACACGUGAGUAACCUGCCCAUCACUCUGGGAUAAGCAUUGGAAACGGUGUCUAAUACUGGAUACGACCAACCCUUCCGUAGGGUGUUGGUGGAAAGAUUUAUCGGUGAUGGAUGGACUCGCGGCCUAUCAGCUGGUUGGCGGGGUAAUGGCACACCAAGGCGACGACGGGUAGCCGGCCUGAGAGGGUGAACGGCCACACUGGGACUGAGACACGGCCCAGACUCCUACGGGAGGCAGCAGUGGGAAAUAUUGCACAAUGGGCGCAAGCCUGAUGCAGCGACGCCGCGUGAGGGAUGACGGCCUUCGGGUUGUAAACCUCUUUCAGCAGGGAAGAAGCGAAAGUGACGGUACCUGCAGAAGAAGCACCGGCUAACUACGUG